CCUACGGGAGGCAGCAGUGAGGAAUAUUGGUCAAUGGUCGGGAGACUGAACCAGCCAAGCCGCGUGAGGGAUGAAGGUACAGAGUAUCGUAAACCUCUUUUGUCAGGGAACAAAGGCGGGGACGUGUCCCCGGAUGAGUGUACCUGAAGAAAAAGCAUCGGCUAACUCCGUGCCAGCAGCCGCGGUAAUACGGAGGAUGCGAGCGUUAUCCGGAUUUAUUGGGUUUAAAGGGUGCGCAGGCGGUCUGUUAAGUCAGCGGGCAAAGCCCGGGGCUCAACCCCGGCCCGCCAUUGAAACUGGCAGUCUCGAGUUGGAGAGAAGUAUGCGGAAUGCGCGGUGUAGCGGUGAAAUGCAUAGAUAUCGCGCAGAACUCCGAUUGCGAAGGCAGCAUGCCGGCUCCACACUGACGCUGAGGCACGAAAGCGUGGGUAUCGAACAGGAUUAGAUACCCUUGUAGUC
rnacentral:rRNA from 1 species